rnacentral:tRNA from 3 species
UGGUGGGUCGUGCGGGAUUCGAACCUGCGACCAAUUGAUUAAAAGUCAACUGCUCUACCAACUGAGCUAACGACCC